UCAUUAUCAAAAACGUUGUAAAAAUAAAUGUCUGAACCUAUGAAUGCUAUAUUGACUUCAGCAUUUAACUGAGAUAAGCA